AAAAGAAAAAUAAUACGGUUUUGCUUCUAUGACGUUAGCGGCGGACGGGUGAGUAACACGUGGGCAACCUGCCUGUAAUACUGGGAUAACUCCGGGAAACCGGAGCUAAUACCGGAUAACAUUUUCUCUUGCAUAAGAGAAAAUUGAAAGAUGGUUUCGGCUAUCACUUACAGAUGGGCCCGCGGUGCAUUAGCUAGUUGGUGAGGUAACGGCUCACCAAGGCAACGAUGCAUAGCCGACCUGAAAGGGUGAUCGGCCACACUGGGACUGAGACACGGCCCAGACUCCUACGGGAGGCAGCAGUAGGGAAUCUUCCGCAAUGGACGAAAGUCUGACGGAGCAACGCCGCGUGAGUGAUGAAGGCUUUCGGGUCGAAAAACUCUGUUGUUAGGGAAGAACAAGUACAAGAGUAACUGCUUGUACCUUGACGGUACCUAACCAGAAAGCUACGGCUAACUACGAGCCAAUUCUUCUCGGUAAUACUU
rnacentral:rRNA from 2 species